rnacentral:tRNA from 1 species
UGGGUUGUGGCUCAGUGAUAAAGUGCUUGCCUCACAGGCAUGAGGCCCUGAGUUCAAUCCUCAGCACUACAU